GUCGACGAUGAAGCCCAGCUUGCUGGGUGGAUUAGUGGCGAACGGGUGAGUAACACGUGAGUAACCUGCCCUUGACUCUGGGAUAAGCGCUGGAAACGGCGUCUAAUACCGGAUACGACCUGCCCCGGCAUCGGGUGCGGGUGGAAAGUUUUACGGUCAAGGAUGGACUCGCGGCCUAUCAGGUAGUUGGUGAGGUAAUGGCUCACCAAGCCGACGACGGGUAGCCGGCCUGAGAGGGUGACCGGCCACACUGGGACUGAGACACGGCCCAGACUCCUACGGGAGGCAGCAGUGGGGAAUAUUGCACAAUGGGCGAAAGCCUGAUGCAGCAACGCCGCUUGGGGGAUGACGGCCUUCGGGUUGAAAACCUCUUUUAGUAGGGAAGAAGGGCUUCGGCUUGACGGUACCUGCAGAAAAAGCACCGGCUAACUACGUGCCAGCAGCCGCGGUAAUACGUAGGGUGCAAGCGUUGUCCGGAAUUAUUGGGCGUAAAGAGCUCGUAGGCGGUUUGUCGCGUCUGCUGUGAAAACCCGAGGCUCAACCUGGGGCCUGCAGUGGGUACGGGCAGACUAGAGUGCGGUAGGGGAGAAUGGAAUUCCUGGU
rnacentral:rRNA from 1 species